GAUGAAGAACGCAGCGAAAUGAGAUAAGUAAUGUGAAUUGCAGAAUUCAGUGAAUCAUCGAAUGUUUGAACGCACAUUGCGCCCGCCAGUAUUCUGGCGGGCAUGCCUGUUCGAGCGUCAUUUCAACCAUCAAGCCCCCGGGCUUGUGUUGGGGACCUGCGGCUGCCGCAGGCCCUGAAAACCAGUGGCGGGCUCGCUAGUCACUCCGAGCGUAGUAGUUACAUCUCGCUCAGGGCGUGCUGCGGGUUCCGGCCGUUAAAAGCCUUUUACCCCAAGGUUGACCUCGGAUCAGGUAGGAAGACCCGCUGAACUUAAGCAUAUCAAUAAGCGGAGGA
rnacentral:misc_RNA from 1 species